GACGGAAGGUGCAAGCGUUGCUCGGAAUCACUGGGCGUAAAGGGUGCGUAGGCGGCUGUGCAAGUCUGGCGUGAAAGCCCCGGGCUCAGCCCGGGAAGUGCGCUCGAAACUGCACGGCUCGAGUGCCGGAGGGGAGAGUGGAAUUCCAGGUGUAGCGGUGAAAUGCGUAGAUAUCUGGAGGAACACCGGUGGCGAAGGCGGCGUUCUGGACUGCAACUGACACUGAUAAACGAAAGCCAGGGUAGCAAACGGG
rnacentral:rRNA from 1 species